rnacentral:rRNA from 1 species
GUGGUAGUAGCAAAUAAUCGAAUGAGAUCUUGGAUGACUGAAGUGGAGAAGGGUUCCGUGUGAACAGUGGUUGAUCACGGGUUAGUCGGUCCUAAGCUCUAAGCGAAAGCUGAUAUUAAAUUUAAAGUCUCUCUUUUGUUGACUUUAUUUUGAGCGAAAGGGAAUACGGUUCCAAUUCCGUAACCUAUUGAGUAUACGUUUAUUGUGGGUCCUAUAUAUUUUUAUGUAUAGGUUUAAAGCUCAUCCUGGUAACAGAAGCUACCAUAGAGAAGCCGUCGAAGCAUACCGGAAGAGUUAUCUUUUCUGUUUCAUAACUGUAUUACCAUGGAAGUCUUUCGAAGAGAGAUAUGGUAAAUGAGUUAGAAGAGCACGGCGUUUAUUGCUGUGUCGGGUAUGUGUUCCUCGGACCUUGAAAAUCUAUGGUGGGGCCACGUAAACAUUCUCAAUAGACCGUACCAAUAUCCGCAGCAGGUCUCCAAGGUUAAGAGUCUCUAGUCGAUAGAAUAAUGUAGGUAAGGGAAGUCGGCAAAUUAGAUCCGUAACUUCGGGAUAAGGAUUGGCUCUGAAGAUUGCGAUGCGUCGGGCUUGUUUGGG